GUUUGAUCCUGGCUCAGGACGAACGCUGGCGGCGUGCUUAACACAUGCAAGUCGAACGGUAAGGCCCUUCGGGGUACACGAGUGGCGAACGGGUGAGUAACACGUGGGUGAUCUGCCCUGCACUUCGGGAUAAGCCUGGGAAACUGGGUCUAAUACCGGAUAGGACUCCUGGCUUCAUGGUUGGGGGUGUAAAGCUUUUGCGGUGUGGGAUGGGCCCGCGGCCUAUCAGCUUGUUGGUGGGGUAAUGGCCUACCAAGGCGACGACGGGUAGCCGGCCUGAGAGGGUGACCGGCCACACUGGGACUGAGAUACGGCCCAGACUCCUACGGGAGGCAGCAGUGGGGAAUAUUGCACAAUGGGCGCAAGCCUGAUGCAGCGACGCCGCGUGAGGGAUGACGGCCUUCGGGUUGUAAACCUCUUUCAAUAGGGACGAAGCGCAAGUGACGGUACCUAUAGAAGAAGGACCGGCCAACUACGUGCCAGCAGCCGCGGUAAUACGUAGGGUCCGAGCGUUGUCCGGAAUUACUGGGCGUAAGAGCUCGUAGGUGGUUUGUCGCGUUGUCCGUGAAAACUCACAGCUUAACUGUGGGCGUGCGGGCGAUACGGGCAGACUGGAGUACUGCAGGGGAGACUGGAAUUCCUGGUGUAGCGGUGGAAUGCGCAGAUAUCAGGAGGAACACCGGUGGCGAAGGCGGGUCUCUGGGCAGUAACUGACGCUGAGGAGCGAAAGCGUGGGGAGCGAACAGGAUUAGAUACCCUGGUAGUCCACGCCGUAAACGGUGGGUACUAGGUGUGGGUUUCCUUCCUUGGGAUCCGUGCCGUAGCUAACGCAUUAAGUACCCCGCCUGGGGAGUACGGCCGCAAGGCUAAAACUCAAAGAAAUUGACGGGGGCCCGCACAAGCGGCGGAGCAUGUGGAUUAAUUCGAUGCAACGCGAAGAACCUUACCUGGGUUUGACAUGCACAGGACGCCGGCAGAGAUGUCGGUUCCCUUGUGGCCUGUGUGCAGGUGGUGCAUGGCUGUCGUCAGCUCGUGUCGUGAGAUGUUGGGUUAAGUCCCGCAACGAGCGCAACCCUUGUCUCAUGUUGCCAGCACGUAAUGGUGGGGACUCGUGAGAGACUGCCGGGGUCAACUCGGAGGAAGGUGGGGAUGACGUCAAAUCAUCAUGCCCCUUAUGACCUGGGCUACACACGUGCUACAAUGGACGGUACAAAGGGUUGCCAACCCGCGAGGGGGAGCCAAUCCCAGAAAACCGUUCUCAGUUCGGAUUGUAGGCUGCAACUCGCCUGCAUGAAGCCGGAAUCGCUAGUAAUCGUGGAUCAGCAUGCCACGGUGAAUACGUUCCCGGGCCUUGUACACGCCGCCCGUCACACCACGAGAGUUUGUAACACCCGAAGUCGGUGAGGUAACCCUUGUGGAGCCAGCCGCCGAAGGUGGGACGGAUGAUUGGGGUGAAGUCGUAACAAGGUAACC
rnacentral:rRNA from 1 species